GUCGAACGGAGUUAUCAUUUCAGAAGCAAUUAGCUUGCUAAGAGCCGAAGAGAGGAUAACUUAGUGGCGGACGGGUGAGUAACGCGUGGGGAACCUGCCCUGCACCGGGGGAUAACACCUGGAAACAGGUGCUAAUACCGCAUAAGCGCACGAGGCCGCAUGGCCAGGUGUGAAAAACUAAGGUGGUGCAGGAUGGACCCGCGUCUGAUUAGCUUGUUGGUAGGGUAACGGCCUACCAAGGCGACGAUCAGUAGCCGGCCUGAGAGGGUGAACGGCCACAUUGGGACUGAGACACGGCCCAAACUCCUACGGGAGGCAGCAGUGGGGAAUAUUGGACAAUGGGGGAAACCCUGAUCCAGCGACGCCGCGUGAGUGGAGAAGUUUUCGGUAUGUAAAGCUCUAUCAGCAGGGAAGAAAAUGACGGUACCUGACUAAGAAGCCCCGGCUAACUACGUGUCAGCAGCCGCGGUAAUACGUAGGGGGCAAGCGUUAUCCGGAUUUACUGGGUGUAAAGGGAGCGUAGACGGCAUAGCAAGUCUGAUGUGAAAGAUCGGGGCUCAACCCCGGGCCUGCAUUGGAAACUGUUAAGCUGGAGUACAGGAGAGGUAAGCGGAAUUCCUAGUGUAGCGGUGAAAUACGUAGAUAUUAGGAGGAACACCAGUGGCGAAGGCGGCUUACUGGACUGUAACUGACGUUGAGGCUCGAAAGCGUGGGGAG
rnacentral:rRNA from 1 species